GUGCUCGCUUCAGCAGCACAUAUACUAAAAUUGGAACGAUACAGAGAAGAUUAGCAUGGCCCCUGCACAAAGAAAAAAAGAAAAAUAAAGAAGUAGUUCCAAUGUUU